UUCUCUCCAAUAAAUGAUAAAUUUUUCCUUCUCUUUAAAAUAUAAAUUAUUCGAAGUGGGGACAAACACCGCAUUAUACACUUAAAAAAGUAAGAAAAAUUUCAUCAUCCCAACCAAGCUCUCGCACCUAAAACUUCUGGUACUUCCAAAUUUCACUGAAAAACACAACAAAUCUCAAAUAAUUUUCAUUGCUCCUAAUUUCCAAUUACAUCGUGUCAGAAUCCCAAUUUGGCACCAAUUACAAAAACAGUAACCAAUCGGCAGAAGAAUUGGCUCGCUGUCACAACUUACAAUCGUCGAGAAUCGCUACCUCCUUUUACCAUAAUCCUUGAUUGGUUUUCUAACGAGUAAUACCCUCUGCACAUUCAAUUGCUUCCGGUGCUAAGAAAUCAUUUCUACCAUGCUUUAUUCUUUUUCUUCUUCUUCUGAAGAGGAUGGGUUCGAUGUUGGCACACUGUCCUUUUUCACUUGUAUCUUGUUUUUGGGAGUUUCUUUUGCGCCCCCC
rnacentral:lncRNA from 1 species